CCGGGCGGGAGGGCGCCUGCGCCUCGCGACGUCACCGGGGGCGGUGGGGCUCGGCGCUAGGGCGCAUGCGCCUGCGUGAGAGCACAUGUGCGCAGCGGGGGGGGGCGGCGGGGCGCCGGCGGGGCAGGGCGCGCGUGCGCACUGAGCGGAUCGACGGCGCGCGGGCUGAGCGGCCGUGCGCGUGCGCCGCGUCGCGCCCGGCCACGCCACGCCACGCCACGCCACGCCACGCCCCGUCCCGUCUCGUCUCGCGCGCGCCUCGGGCUGCCCGUGCGGGGAGCGGGCCGGGCGCAGGCGGGCAAGGAAGGUCGCGUGCCGGCCGGAAGGGGAUGGGCCCUUCCGGCGCAUGCGCGGGAGAGCCGUGCCCGCCCCGGGCGGUGUCUCUGUGCUCCCUUUUCCGUGCAGGGCUCUCUGUCCAACCGCAGCGGGCGUCCUGCGCCGCCGCGCCUCCCAGCGCCGCGCCUGUGCCGGGGCGGGUGUCGUUGCUCGGGGUGCCGGCUGCGCGGUCCGCAGCGAGCGGGAGCUGUCCCUGCGGCGCACAGGCCCGGGCCUCCCGCGGGCGUUGCCCAGGCUGACCUGGCGCUAGGGGACGGCACCCCCCGAGCGGGUGUGUUCGCACCUGCGUUCCAGAGCCGUGCGCUGCAGCUCCGGCGGCGCCUUCAGCCAGCCCCGAGCCGUGCAAACCACAGCUGCGCCUUCGCGGGGUGCCGGGCUGUGCUGAAGAAGCGGGAAAAGGGUUCAGGAAAAGGAUUCUCAAUAGUUUGGCAGAGCUGGUUUUAGUGGAAACAGAGUUUAGGUUCUACUCAGGUUGUUUCUUAAUUGUGAUGUAUGUACUUGCUGUAUUUUAAAACAUUAAAGUUUUGCUUGUAAAUCGAAUAGUAUCAGGUAUUGGCUCCCAAUCUUGUAGUUUUUGCACGUGUGUGUGGCAUCUGCAGUUACAGGUGGUUUGGGGGGGCGAUACGGCGAAAUUAUGUCCUGUUAGAAGUUUGUCCAGUGAGUAUCAGGAUUUGUGCCAUAUAAAGAAUUUUUCAGAGAGAAGCUGCGAUCUGGUGGAGUUUAGAAAACCUGUGACAAGAAUACUGCUGGUUUAUUUUUAGCUAGCAUCUUAUGCCUAAGAAGAGUGAAGCCUUUCAUGAAAAAACGUUUUUUUUUCUUUAUCUUUAAGAAUUCUAUGGUUUUCUAUUAACAACUAAUUAAAUGUGUUUCAGAUUCUUACAAAAGCGUAGAACCAAAUGAAAUAUCAAAUGUGCUUCAUUCCUGCCAUGCCAGUUAGUACAAGUGUAAAGCAAGAAGCCAGACCUUAGAUUUGCAGAAGUCUUGGAGAUCACAGCUCUUUAAUGUAGUAUUUCUUCUGUGUGCGUGUGUUCUUUUUUUGUUGUUUUGUUUGUUUAGUUAUUUUUUGUUUAGCAUGUGUUUUCAACAGAGAGAGGAAUAAUUGUCUGCAUUUUCGUAUCUUGUUUUAUUUUUCUUUCCCUGGUACUUGCCAUCCCAGGUUUAAAUAGAGCCGUAGGAGGGAGUACUUGUGGAAUUUUGCUGUCACCUGUGAAGGAUUCCACUUGCAUUCAGCAGCUGCUGCAGUGUUGCUGCCCCUUGUUGGAGGUCACCCAACCCACGGCAGAACUGGCAUCUCCCCACUUGUUUCACGGCACAGUAUCACAUCUUCAUUCAGCCCUCCUGUUUUAAACUGGGAUCCUGACUUUGCAUGGGAAGCAGCUGACAAGCAAAGGGCAUGCAUUGGAAAGCGUUCAUGCUGGUCUUGUGGUGCUGGCUUAAUGAGUGGGUCAGACUGGAGUGAGCUCUGGCAUGAACAGGGCCUGUUCCUGCUGGUGUUACAUCCCAGUACCAACAGUGCAUCUCCUGCUCCGCCUGCUGCAUCAGGCCCAGCAGAUGCCCAAGGCUAUGUGUCACCAGGCCAGCUGCCAUUCAGCAGAAGGUGGGUGCUGCUGGCUCUUGCUCUCCUCCUGGCUCCCUGCAGAGACCUUGGUGGCCAUUGCUCACCUCUGGUCAUGGGCACUUGUGGGGCAGGAGGGACGUUCUCUCCAUGUGCGCACAGGCAAAGCUGGCAGAGCAAUGCUGGGACACUGGAUCCCACAGCGCUUCCCGACUCUCCUGGGGCUGAAGCUCCAAGCUUGGAUGGGUUAUUUUGGCAUGUGUGACCCAACGUCCUGGUGCAGGAGCAGAACCCCCCCUGGUUCAGCAACAGGAGGUGGGAAGGCUGAGCAGUGGUGCCAGCUCCCCUCUCAGCAGCUGUGAGGUCUAAGUAAGAAAUAACAAAGAAAUGCUUGCAAAAUAAAAAUGCUUUUGAUGUGAAUAGAAAUGUUUAUAAUAAUUUGGAUUUUUUUUUCAUUUAGAUAAGGCUCAGAAAAUGUAUUUUGUCACAGUGACAUGCAGUGAGCUCUAGUAGGUGUACCCAUUCCAGGAUAAAAGGAACAGAAGCCACUCGCUUGAUGAACCUGAAAGCUUUCUUAGAAUUACAAAAGGAAUAAAUGAUCUUAAUCAUAUUAA